GUGAAUCAUCGAAUUUUUGAACGCAAAUUGCACUCUCCUCGGAGAGUAUGCCUGUUUGAGGGUCAGCCUAAAAAAAAAAAAUCUACAUCGUUUCUGUUUCGCGGUGACGUUAGUUGUAAAUUUUGUCAUUUUUAACCUUUUGUUUUUUUAAUGAUUUUAUAUUUUUUUGUGACCCCCUUAACGUUUCUAUGAUUU
rnacentral:misc_RNA from 1 species